UUGGCCAUCCGAGUUGUAAUUUAGAGAAGCGUCUUCCGCGCUGGACCGUGCACAAGUCUCCUGGAACGGAGCGUCGUAGAGGGUGAGAAUCCCGUCUUUGGCACGGACGCACCAGGGCUUUUGUGAUGCGCUCUCGAAGAGUCGAGUUGUUUGGGAAUGCAGCUCAAAAUGGGUGGUGAACUCCAUCUAAAGCUAAAUAUUGGCGAGAGACCGAUAGCGAACAAGUACCGUGAGGGAAAGAUGAAAAGCACUUUGGAAAGAGAGUGAAACAGUACGUGAAAUUGUUGAAAGGGAAACGCUUGAAGUCAGUCGCGUCGACCGAGACUCAACCUCGCCUCGGCUUGGUGUACUUCUCGGCCCGACGGGUCAGCAUCAAUUUCGCCCCUCGAAGAAUGGCGGGAGAAACGUGACACCUUUACGGUGUGUUAUAGUCUCUCGUCGCACGCGAGGGUCGGGAUUGAGGAACUCAGCACGCGCCUUUGGGUGUCGGAGUCCGGUUGCUCACGAUACGUGCUUAGGAUGUUGGCGUAAUGGCUUUAAACGACCCGUCUUGAAACACGGACCAAGGAGUCUAACAUGCCUGCGAGUGUUCGGGUGGAAAACCCGUGCGCGCAAUGAAAGUGAAAGUUGGGACCUCYGUCGUGGAGGGCACCGACGCCCGGACCAGACCUUCUGUGACGGCUCUGCGGUAGAGCAUGCAUGUUAGGACCCGAAAGAUGGUGAACUAUGCCUGAAUAGGGUGAAGCCAGAGGAAACUCUGGUGGAGGCUCGUAGCGAUUCUGACGUGCAAAUCGAUCGUCAAAUUUGGGUAUAGGGGCGAA
rnacentral:rRNA from 1 species